rnacentral:rRNA from 1 species
GAUGAACGCUGGCGGCGUGCCUAAUACAUGCAAGUCGAGCGAACGGACGAGAAGCUUGCUUCUCUGAUGUUAGCUGCGGACGGGUGAGUAACACGUGGAUAACCUACCUAUAAGACUGGGAUAACUUCGGGAAACCGGAGCUAAUACCCGAUAAUAUUUUGAACCGCAUGUUUCAAAAGUGAAAGACGGUCUUGCUGUCACUUAUAGAUGGAUCCGCGCUGCAUUAGCUAGUUGGUAAGGUAACGGCUUACCAAGGCAACGAUGCAUAGCCGACCUGAGAGGGUGAUCGGCGACACUGGAACUGAGACACGGUCCAGACUCCUACGGGAGGCAGCAGUAGGGAAUCUUACGCAAUGGGCGAAAGCCUGACGGAGCAACGCCGCGUGAGUGAUGAAGGUCUUCGGAUAGUAAAACUCUGUUAUUAGGGAAGAACAUAUGUGUAAGUAACUGUGCACAUCUUGACGGUACCUAAUCAGAAAGCCACGGCUAACUACGUG